CCUACGGGAGGCAGCAGUAGGGAAUAUUGCUCAAUGGGCGAAACCCUGAGGCAGCAACGCCGCGUGGAGGAUGAAGGUUUUCGGAUUGUAAACUCCUGUUGUUAGAGAAGAUAAUGACGUUAUCUAACGAAUAAGCACUGGCUAACUCCGUGCCAGCAGCCGCGGUAAUACGGAGGGUGCAAGCGUUAGUCGGAAUCACUGGGCGUAAAGAGCGCGUAGGCGGGUUAGCAAGUCAUAUGUGAAAUCCUAGGGCUUAACCAUAGAACUGCAUUUGAAACUGUUAUUCUAGAGUAUGGGAGAGGUAGGUGGAAUUCUAGGUGUAGGGGUAAAAUCCGUAGAGAUCAAGAGGAAUACUCAUGGCGAAGGCGACCUGCUAGAACAUAACUGACGCUGAGGAGCGAAAGCGUGGGGAGCAAACAGGAUUAGAUACCCUUGUAGUC
rnacentral:rRNA from 1 species